UAAUUUGUGAUUUACAUUUUUUAUAUCUAAAAUUGAAAAACACAUUUUUAAACAUCUUAUCAUAAUACAGCAAAUUGAGCCAUUGCAGAAAUUUAGUAGCUGGAUAGCGUAAAUUCUAUUAAUAGUUAAAUGAAUGUUAAUCAGUCAUCGAAUAGUACUUGUAUUAUCAUUGUGUAACAGACCUCAGAAGCGGAUCGAGGGGGUUGGUUCCGGGUGUUGGAACCCACCUUUUUUGGACGAUCAAAGCAUUUGAGUGGGGACAUGUAGUUGGACC
rnacentral:lncRNA from 1 species